GUGCAGCCGCCGCGGUAAUACCGGCAGCCCGAGUGAUGGCCGAUCUUAUUGGGCCUAAAGCGUCCGUAGCUGGCCGCACAAGUCCAUCGGGAAAUCCGCCCGCUCAACGGGCGGCCGUCCGGCGGAACCUGUGUGGCUUGGGACCGGGAGGCCUGAGGGGUACGAUCGGGGUAGGAGUGAAAUCCUGUAAUCCCGCUCGGACCGCCGAUGGGGAAACCACCUCAGGAGAACGGAUCCGACAGUGAGGGACGAAAGCCAAGGUCUCGAACCGGAUUAGAUACCCUAGUAGUCC
rnacentral:rRNA from 1 species